rnacentral:rRNA from 1 species
AGGGUGUAAACGCUGCAGACUUGGUGUUGGGAACCCUUCGGGGGUGUCCAGUGCCGGAGAGAAGUUGUUAAGUCUGCUACUUGGGGAGUACGUCCGCAAGGAUGAAACUUAAAGGAAUUGGCGGGGGAGCACCGCAACGGGAGGAGCGUGCGGUUUAAUUGGAUUCAACGCCGGGAAGCUCACCGGAUAAGACAGCGGAAUGAUUGCCGGGCUGAAGACUCUGCAUGACUAGCUGAGAGGAGGUGCAUGGCGUAGACGUCU